AUUGAACGCUGGCGGCAUGCCUUACACAUGCAAGUCGAACGGCAGCACGGGAGCAAUCCUGGUGGCGAGUGGCGAACGGGUGAGUAAUAUAUCGGAACGUGCCCAGUAGUGGGGGAUAACUGCUCGAAAGAGCAGCUAAUACCGCAUACGACCUGAGGGUGAAAGGGGGGGAUCGCAAGACCUCUCACUAUUGGAGCGGCCGAUAUCAGAUUAGCUAGUUGGUGGGGUAAAGGCCUACCAAGGCAACGAUCUGUAGUUGGUCUGAGAGGACGAGCAGCCACACUGGGACGUGGACACGGCCCAGACUCCUACGGGAGGCAGCAGUGGGGAAUUCUGGACAGUGGGCGCAAGCCUGAUCCAGCAAUGCCGCGUGCAGGAAGUAGGCCUUCGGGUUGUAAACUGCUUUUGUCAGGGAAGAAAUCCUCUAGGUUAAUACCCUUGGGGGGAUGACGGUACCUGAAGAAUAAGCACCGGCUAACUACGUGCCAGCCGCCGCAGUAAUAC
rnacentral:rRNA from 1 species